rnacentral:rRNA from 1 species
AUUGAACGCUGGCGGCAUGCCUUACACAUGCAAGUCGAACGGCAGCAUAGGAGCUUGCUCCUGAUGGCGAGUGGCGAGCGGGUGAGUAAUAUAUCGGAACGUGCCCUAGAGUGGGGGAUAACUAGUCGAAAGACUAGCUAAUACCGCAUACGAUCUACGGACGAAAGGGGGGGCUCGCAAGACCUCAUGCUCCUGGAGCGGCCGAUAUCUGAUUAGCUAGUUGGUGGGGUAAAAGCCUACCAAGGCGACGAUCAGUAGCUGGUCUGAGAGGACGACCAGCCACACUGGGACUGAGACACGGCCCAGACUCCUACGGGAGGCAGCAGUGGGGAAUUUUGGACAAUGGGGGCAACCCUGAUCCAGCAAUGCCGCGUGAGUGAAGAAGGCCUUCGGGUUGUAAAGCUCUUUUGUCAGGGAAGAAACGGUAGUAGCUAAUAUCUAUUACUAAUGACGGUACCUGAAGAAUAAGCACCGGCUAACUACGUGCCAGCCGCCGCAGUAA